rnacentral:tRNA from 1 species
GGGGCUGUGGCUCCGUUGUUGAGCACCUGCUUGGCAUGCAGAAGGUCUCAGGUUCAAUCCUGAGCAUCUCUG